GAGAGGUAACGGCUCACCAAGGCAUCGACGGGUAGCUGGUCUGAGAGGAUGAUCAGCCACACUGGGACUGAGACACGGCCCAGACUCCUACGGGAGGCAGCAGUGGGGAAUCUUGCACAAUGGGCGCAAGCCUGAUGCAGCAACGCCGCGUGCGGGAAGAAGGCCCUAGGGUUGUAAACCGCUUUCAGGAGGGAAGAAAAUGACGGUACCUCCAGAAGAAGGUGCGGCCAACUACGUGCCAGCAGCCGCGGUGACACGUAGGCACCAAGCGUUAUCCGGAUUUAUUGGGCGUAAAGAGCUCGUAGGCGGUUCAGUCAGUCGGGUGUGAAAACUUGAGGCUCAACCUCAAGAGGCCACCCGAUACUGCUGUGACUCGAGUGCGGUAGGGGAGCGGGGAAUUCCUGGUGUAGCGGUGAAAUGCGCAGAUAUCAGGAGGAACACCAGUGGCGAAGGCGCCGCUCUGGGCCGUAACUGACGCUGAGGAGCGAAAGCAUGGGUAGCAAACAGGAUUAGAUACCCUGGUAGUCCAUGCCGUAAACGUUGGGCACUAGGUGUGGGUCUCAACCAACGAGAUCCGCGCCGUCGCUAACGCAUUAAGUG
rnacentral:rRNA from 1 species